rnacentral:lncRNA from 1 species
AGAUAGGUUCUAAUUAUUCCUUUGUAGUGUUUGCUCACAAGUAGGGAACAGGUGUAUUAUUCAUCUUGCUGGAAGCAAGGAGUUUCCUCCAGAGACUUUCCAGCUCCGGGCUCCCCUCGGGAUCCCAGCUUUCCUGGGCUAAAGGAGGGCUCUGCACAUUUUGUCUCACCUGCCCAGGUGAUGUUCUCUUUGCUGAGGUCCCUCAGUCAAAUCCCUGCCUCAUUUGGGUGCUAGCAGGGAUUUAAUGCAGUGCUGCUCUUUGAAGCUUCAUAGCUUGGACUUCACUCUUAAUCCUUGCCUCGUAUUUCAUGUGUUUUCCACCUUCAUGCUGGGAGAAAUGAACUUCCUGGUGCUUUUUUUCCAGCAGGGCUCUUGCCUGAACAGUUCUUGGUUUGUCUUGCACCAAUUACCAGCUUCCAGGAUGAUGAAUGGGCUGGUUCUGCCUAAGGGAGUGUGUUCAAGCACAAGGCUGUUAAACCCUUUCCAGCUGGCAGAGAAAUCACAUGCAGGUGGCUCCGUGUCAAAGCUCAGCUGUUAUCGCUGGCUGAUUGUGCCUGCACAAGGAUCCUUCCGUGCUGAAACCACACAAAUGGGGAAGAAAAAGAGAUGGAAGAGGCUGACAAUGUGCUACGAGGAGGUCAAAGCUGGGAAUCCACAGAUGGAGGGUGCAAAACACAGCCAAAACCCCAAAAAGUUUCUGGUUCACAAUGGAUUGUGAAUAGAAGGAAUAAGCAAUAAUGGGCAUCCUUAAAAACCCUCCAUUGCAGUCUCCUGGUCUUUUAAGGGAUGUGGGAAUGAUUUAUGUCCAUAUUUACUGACAGCUGGGAGGAGAUUCAGCUUUAUUUCCUUUAUUUAUAUUUAAGGAAAAGCAGUAGCCAAGGUAAGACAAGAACAAUUGCUGACCAAGCUUUCCUCCACACACAAUCCUCAAACAAAACACAAUCCUCACACAGAGCUACAAUAAUUGAUGCACUUGUGUGUUUUACAAGCAGUGAGAAUCCCUGAAAUGAAAUGAGCAGCUGUGAAUGAAUUUGUGUGGGAACCUGACACUCUAAUGGGUUUCCAUCCAGCUCUGAGGUGAAGGAGAGGUUGAAAAGCAAAUCUCUGCAAGUGUCACCUCACUGGGCUGGGAUGGGGAAAGCAGCACUUCAGUCCCAGCUCACAAAGGCUUCCCUCUCUGCACUGCUUCAUUUCCUUGGUGUCCAUUCCCAGAAAAAUGAGGUUCACAUCAUUUCUAUAGAAUUUAAAAGUUUAAUAAAAAGACAAUUAGGAGAAAAAAUAAAGUAUAC